UUUAUUAAUUGCAGAAGAGUUUCUACCAUGACUAACUCAUUGUUCUCGCUCUUUGUAAAUCCCUGAUUCUGGUUUUGAAUCCAAUUCAGUUUUCUCAGUCUCAGUGAGUGCCAAAGAUUGGAACUAUGCAUUCUAUAAUGCAUAUUUCCUUUAAACCUUUUCAGUGUGUUAUUUUCUAAUUCAGUUUAACAUCUUCCUCUGCAAAAGAGCUAGGAGAACUUCCUUUUUACCCACUCUGCACUUCUGUCAUGUACCUGUUCACUUACUAUGUCUAAACAGUCCCAGUGUUUAUUUGACCUUCAUAAGAGUCUUCUGAAUCUCUACACUUUAUUGCUACCUGUAUACAGAUUGCUUCAAGUCAAGUUAUUGACACCCACUGCUCUCCCUUCAUCCACAAAUCCAGUUAUUUUCUCAUAGAAGGCAAUCAGGUAUGAUUUACCCUCAGUAAAUCCAUGCUGACUGUUCCCGGUGACCUCGUUCAUGUACCCAGAAGUGGCUUCCAAGAGGAUGUGCCACAUGGUUUUGCCAGGGGCCAAAGGGAGGCUGACCGGCCUUUAUUUUCCCAGAUCAUCCUUUUGGCAUCAUCACAGCCCAAAUCAAGAGAUAGCAGGGUCUCUACAGACCUAAUCUACAACAAGCAGAAUAACCAAUGCAGAUUUUAGCCCUCUCAGGAGGAACUGGCCAGAAAUAUAUUGCCAAAUUAGAGGGAAAUCUGUGCUGGACAACUCAAACAGUCAUAAAUCUGAAAAAAUAUUAGUUACAUUUGUUUAACUUGUAGACUAAAUGAGCUCUUUAGAGGUGGCCUUAUAGUUCUGCAUGCAGAUACCAUACUCAGUUCAGCCAUUCUUAAAAUGCAUCGUUCUCCUUUUUGUCAGCUAGCUUACCCCAGGACAGGGUGCUAACUGCCUGGCUGACAUAUCAGGGCAAGUUAGCAAUGAGUUGUAAGUGAGAAAUGUAAGAAAAAAACCUGAAUGCUGAAGAAACAUUAUUUUUGGUCUUGUUUUCUUAGUGUUUUCUGCAGUCCCUCACUUGCCACUUUAUUUUCUUCUCUCUCCUUACUUUCCUUUCAUCCCUGAGUGUUUCUUCUCCUCUCUUCCACUGGCCUACACUGGCAGGGAGGUAUCACUGAGCAGAAGAGAAGCCUCUCUCUCAUGUCUGUAUAGCUUUACUACUACUCAUGUUUCCAGAGCAGUAUUUUCACUUACCCCAUAUUUCACUCUGCAGAGACAGCUUGGCCAGAACAUAGCACAUUUUCCAGUCACAGAUGUCCCUAUCGGAUUCAUGCCUGGUUCUUAGAGACGUGGUAGAAGGGAGGUUUUUUUUAUUGUACUUCAACUAAUACAAAUGAUCCCAAGCCAAUAUAAAGCAAAUUUCUUUAUCCUCUUUGCCUCAUACUGGAAGAUCAGGUCUUUCUGACCACAUGUGUUUCCCUCAGUACUUACAUGAGGAAAGGCUGAUGUUUAAUUCCAAAUAAACAAUUACUAGAUAUUCCAUUAAAGGAAAAUGACAGAAUUUUUAAUACAUUCCCUUUCAAAUAUCAAGACAUGGCUACAGCUCUGGUCUUACAGUAAGUGACAAAACAUAUGUUGUCAAGGUCAUAAUUUACAGUCAGAUCCUUGUGUCUAUGAAGAUUUUCCCUAAACUUCAGGGGAAUUUCCAACUGUACCACAGGUCAUCCUGCAUGAAUCCAAUUGCAAGACUGGAACCUAAGAUUAUUAUUUUUUUCCCACAAAAACUCUAGCUGACUGGUUUUAACUUCUGAAAGAGAGGGUGCAGUUCCAUUGUAGAAUCUAAGUACUCUUUAACAAAAAUAUGUAUGUUUUCAGAAAUCAGAACACUGCAGAUCUAUUGCCAAGAAAAGAAAAGAAAAAAAAAACCAAAACAAAACACUAUGAAGACAAGCACAAGGUAUUAAUAAGGUGACAUUUAAAAUACUGUUUUCUCUGAUCAGAACUGGUUGCUGAACUGGUUCCCUGCUAGUGAUGGAGUAUUCUCAUGCAGAAAUACCAGCAGCAGGUCACAACAGAGUAGCUCCAUUUACAUCAAUGCAGCCAGCAAGUAUGUUUGCAGACCUACACGUUCAAAAUUUUUUAAUGCAUGGAUUUUAAAUACAAUGGGAAAAAGCAGUCACUUUAGUCUGAUCAUAUCAACUUCCUUGAUCUUUUAUUUUUACUGUGUUCUUUCACUUUCCUUCUUUCCACCGUUGCCAUACAAUGGAAAAAGCUGCAGGGGGAGGAGGGAGAGAAAGGAGCAAUGGAUUUCCUUGACUAAUCCAAUUCAAGCACAUUCAAAGAGUUCUUCUGGUCAAGCUUGCAUAUCAAGUCUUAUCUCUAGUCAGUAUCCAGAAAGCAAUGUCCUAGUGCUCCACAGUAUAAGGGGAAUUUGAAACAGGCUUUCUGUACUUGCUAUUAUUUUUUGACAGCUUAAGAGCUAAAAUAAAGUAGAAAAGUAAAUUGGUCAGUUUGUGCACGGGUACUGUUUCUAGAGAACAACGCUCCCAAGGAGAAGCAGUGGCUGCAGCAGAGGACAACCCGCAGUUGACAUCAGGGUGCUGUGCAGGCAAAAAAUGGGAUGCCUGCCAGUUCUCAAACCAAAUGACAGCAAAGCCAUAGGUAUACAGUCUCUAACUUCCACAGCUGCCGGGAAAGUCUGUGUUACGUCAGUAUCAUUAUAGGUCUCCAUACCAGUCAGUAUCACAGCUCUGAUUUUAAUUGCAUCUGAAGUGAACUCAGCAGUAAAACAUCUUUGUCCUGAGUGAUGGACAACUGUUUACUUCCAGUUUUAAGUAACUCUAUAUGUACAUCACAAGAAGAAAAAGACAACACCCACCCUCACCAAUCAGUCUUUUCUGGUACAUGUGAGCAAGCAUUAUAAAGCACUACAUCAAAAACUGUCACAAAAUCUCAGUCUCAGUGAAACAGUUGUAGAGCCUAGGAAUUAGCCAUUUUCAUGUUUGUUUACCCUAGUAUCCAUUUGACUUUAAUGGAUAACCUAACAGGGAUUUUUUUUUUAAAUAUAUUUUUAUGUAUAAAUAAAAGGCAGGAUUAUCUACUCCUAGCACAGUUUGUCUCAGAAACAAUUACAGACUCUGUGGCAUCUUGCAAUCUUGGCAGCUGUACUGUCGUCUUAUAUGGGAAUAUAGAUGCAUGUUUGUCUUAAGAGCUCCCAAAUCCCUGCAUUCUCCCUAAGAAAGAAUGGGACAGGAAAUUUCUGGGUUACUGGGCUCUUUGGCGCAGCUGUCUCUUUUGCUUUCACAUGUAUUUCUACAGCAAGAUGAGAGCCAUCUUAAGCAAUGGAAACAGAGUCUCAUUCAGCAAUGGUUCUUUUCUCUUUUGUCUGCUCUAAAAGAGUCUGAGUGUUAGGAAGAGUAACAAGCACUGAACUUUUCCCCACAUACACAACUCACACAAAGGAAUGAAACUGGGUUGAGAUAAGAAUAUAUUUUUUUCUCUUUAAGAAAAAAAACAGUUCAAGUUCAGGUUCCUUCAAAUUAAGUUUACUAUUGGAGUCUUAAGACCACGAUCCAGCAAAAUUUACCUGAUCUCAGUAUAGUUUUUCGUGUGCUUUUGAAGUUAAAUAUCUAUUUAAGAACUUGCUUGCUUGGGUGAUUAGGCUUGUGACAGAAGAUACACUCAAACACCUAGAUCUCAGCUCUCAUGCCUACAGCUUUAGGGAUCAAGUGCCGAAGACACAGCCUUUAUGUUCUCAAAUAUUUUGCCAUGUUCUGCAGUCCUUAAUCCUUAAGUUCAAAGAGAGCUUUCCUUGUUCAGUAACAGAACUUAAUCCAUUUUUCCUCUUACUUGUGUUCUUACACUCUCUUUUUAUUCUGUUUGACCCAUAUUGCUAUAAUAAGAGUCUAGAAUUAUUAACUUUGUCUCACCACAUUCCUACUGAGCCAAAAGUAGCUAAUAAUCCAUGGGGAAGCGUGAGGAAUAAGAAAGGCAAUGAUGUGUCCUGAGUGGUAUAGUGGAAUUAAACCCUCUUCCCUUCAGGUCCUGUUCUAGCUCUGGAAUGGUUUUUUCCCCUUAAUGCAGGUUCUCAUUCAGCCAUAUUUUGUGCCUUAUAUCCAAAAAAUAUAGGUAGGCAGAGGCCUACCAUGAGAAGCAGAAAAUUACGUCAACUCACUAUUUCGCAUAAAUAUUUUGUGAGUAGAAGUUUUGGCUUUUGUUUUGUGAUAUAACCUGAGAAACAGUAGUGGCUUGCUAGAAAAGAUAAAGAAUACAUACAAAAGAAAGAGAAGAGGCAACCAAAGUGCUAAAGAUGUAACAAGACCACAGGCAUGACUUUCCUGGAAGGGCUACAAGGCUUGAACCCCUCCUCACACUGGUACCACCGAAGCAGCUGCAACGCAACUCCACACGAUGAAGAAACUGCGUCCUCUCCCUCCUGGCAGCAGCCGCUAUCUUAAAAAGCUAAAUCUACUUCACUUCCUAUGAUACUGAACAUCAUGUAGUCCUUUGAGGUCCACCACUAGCCAUAAAUCCCAGGCAGGAAACAGUUUUCAAGCCUAGGAGGAAAGACGGCAUUUCAUUUUCUAAAGCCAGCCCUGUGUAACCAGGUCAAACAAAGUUUGGAAUUGAAGCGCUUGAAAUCCAGGAUAUAAUUGUGUAUGUUUUUCUGUUUGUUUUGUUACCGGUCAACCGGAUGCAACAAAUAAAACCAUUUUUCUUUCUUA